GAUGAACGCUGGCGGCGUGCCUAAUACACGCAAGCCGAGCGAACGGACGAGAAGCUUGCUUCUCUGAUGUUAGCGGCGGACGGGUGAGUAACACGUGGAUAACCUACCUAUAAGACUGGGAUAACUUCGGGAAACCGGAGCUAAUACCGGAUAAUAUUUUGAACCGCAUGGUUCAAAAGUGAAAGACGGUCUUGCUGUCACUUAUAGAUGGAUCCGCGCUGCAUUAGCUAGUUGGUAAGGUAACGGCUUACCAAGGCAACGAUGCAUAGCCGACCUGAGAGGGUGAUCGGCCACACUGGAACUGAGACACGGUCCAGACUCCUACGGGAGGCAGCAGUAGGGAAUCUUCCGCAAUGGGCGAAAGCCUGACGGAGCAACGCCGCGUGAGUGAUGAAGGUCUUCGGAUCGUAAAACUCUGUUAUUAGGGAAGAACAUAUGUGUAAGUAACUGUGCACAUCUUGACGGUACCUAAUCAGAAAGCCACGGCUAACUACGUG
rnacentral:rRNA from 1 species